UUCCAUGUCAGAAAAAUACUUCACCUGGA
rnacentral:piRNA from 1 species